rnacentral:rRNA from 1 species
GCGUGCCUAUACAUGCAAGUCGAGCGCAGGAAGCUCACGGAACUCUUCGGAGGGAAGUGAAGGGAAUGAGCGGCGGACGAGUGAGUAACACGUAAGGAACCUGCCCCAAGGAUUGGGAUAACUCCGAGAAAUCGGAGCUAAUACCGAAUAGUUCUUCAGACCGCAUGGUCUGAUGAUGAAAGGCGCUCCGGCGUCACCUUGGGAUGGCCUUGCGGUGCAUUAGCUAGUUGGUGGGGUAAUGGCCCACCAAGGCGACGAUGCAUAGCCGACCUGAGAGGGUGAUCGGCCACACUGGGACUGAGACACGGCCCAGACUCCUACGGGAGGCAGCAGUAGGGAAUCUUCCACAAUGGACGAAAGUCUGAUGGAGCAACGCCGCGUGAGUGAUGAAGGUUUUCGGAUCGUAAAACUCUGUUGUAAGGGAAGAACAAGUACGAGAGGUAAUGCUCGUACCUUGACGGUACCUUGCGAGAAAGCCACGGCUAACUACGUGCCAGCAGCCGCGGUAAUACGUAGGUGGCAAGCGUUGUCCGGAAUUAUUGGGCGUAAAGCGCGCGCAGGCGGCCUUUUAAGUCUGAUGUGAGAGCCCCCGGCUCAACCGGGGAGGGUCAUUGGAAACUGGAAGGCUUGAGUACAGAAGAGAAGAGUGGAAUUCCAUGUGUAGCGGUGAAAUGCGUAGAGAUGUGGAGGAACACCAGU